rnacentral:rRNA from 1 species
GACAGAGGGUGCAAACGUUGUUCGGAAUUACUGGGCGUAAAGCGCGUGUAGGCGGUUAUGCAAGUCGGGUGUGAAAGCCCGGAGCUCAACUCCGGAAGUGCAUUCGAUACUGCGUAGCUAGAGUACUGGAGAGGAUGGUGGAACUCUCGGUGUAGAGGUGAAAUUCGUAGAUAUCGAGAAGAACACCGGUGGCGAAGGCGGCCAUCUGGACAGAUACUGACGCUGAGACGCGAAAGCGUGGGGGAGCAAAACAGG